rnacentral:rRNA from 1 species
GAUGAACGCUGGCGGCGUGCCUAAUACAUGCAAGUCGAGCGAACAGACGAGGAGCUUGCUCCUCUGACGUUAGCGGCGGACGGGUGAGUAACACGUGGAUAACCUACCUAUAAGACUGGGAUAACUUCGGGAAACCGGAGCUAAUACCGGAUAAUAUAUUGAACCGCAUGGUUCAAUAGUGAAAGACGGUUUUGCUGUCACUUAUAGAUGGAUCCGCGCCGAAUUAGCUAGUUGGUAAGGUAACGGCUUACCAAGGCAACGAUGCGUAGCCGACCUGAGAGGGUGAUCGGCCACACUGGAACUGAGACACGGUCCAGACUCCUACGGGAGGCGGCAGUAGGGAAUCUUCCGCAAUGGGCGAAAGCUUGACGGAGCAACGCCGCGUGAGUGAUGAAGGUCUUCGGAUCGUAAAACUCUGUUAUUAGGGAAGAACAAAUGUGUAAGUAACUAUGCACGUCUUGACGGUACCUAAUCAGAAAGCCACGGCUAACUACGUG